rnacentral:pre_miRNA from 15 species
UGCUAAAUCCUUUGUUCAGUUAUUAUAAGUAAGGGGACUUCUAAUUGUUUGUAAAAAAUCGAGUAUUACAACCAUUGGAAUUUCUCUAUUACAUUUUUGGAUUGGCAAAGUUGUAGUACU